UACAGAGGUCCCGAGCGUUGUUCGGAUUCACUGGGCGUAAAGAGCUCGUAGGCGGUCUGUUACGUCUGCUGUGAAAACCCAGGGCUUAACCCUGGGCUUGCAGUGGAUACGGGCAGACUAGAGGCAGGUAGGGGAGAAUGGAAUUCCCGGUGUAGCGGUGAAAUGCGCAGAUAUCGGGAGGAACACCGGUGGCGAAGGCGGUUCUCUGGGCCUGACCUGACGCUGAGGAGCGAAAGCGUGGGGAGCGAACAGG
rnacentral:rRNA from 1 species